rnacentral:rRNA from 1 species
AUGGAGGGCACCGGCUGUGGCGCUUUGCUCAGAGAGCUCCAGCAAAUCUGGGCAGAGGUAGGGGAAAGCGAGGGUGAGAAGAGCAAGGUCUUGUCAGAGAUAGAGAGGGAGUGCUUGGAGGUGUACCGCAGGAAGGUGGACGAUGCCAAUCGGACCAGGGUCCAGCUGCACCAAUCUGUGGCCACCAAGGAAGCUGAGGUUGCAUUGCUAAUGGCUACUCUAGGGGAGCACAAGCUGUAUCUCAAGAAAGACAAGGGCUACCUGUCGCUCAAGGAACAACUCGCCACUGUCGUCCCUGUACUCGACGACCUGAAAUGCAAGAAAGAAGAAAGGAUCAAGCAAUACUACGAUAUUCGAUCACAGAUUGAGAAGAUACGCUCCGAGUUAAGUGAGCGUAGUGAUAAGGGUGAUCAUGUAAACAGUCCAGCUGAUGAUGAACAUGAUUUAUCGACAAGGAAGCUUAAUAGCUACCAAGCGCAACUUAGUGCUCUUCAGAAAGAUAAGUCUGAUAGACUUCACAAAGUUCUGAAAUAUGUAAAUGAAGUGCAUUCUUUAUGUGGAGUCCUUGGAAUUGAUUUCGCAAAGACCGUAAACGGAAUUCAUCCCAAUCUACAUCAGAAUGGUGUUGAGCAGUCCAGAAACAUCAGCAAUGGCACACUGGAAGGCCUUGCUAGCACAAUAUCAAAUCUUAAAGCAGAGAGAAAAUCUAGAAUCGAUAAGAUGAGAGAGACAAUGGAGUCAUUAUGUCACCUCUGGAAGUUAAUGGACUCUUCUGAAGAGGAGAAGAGACAAUUCAGCAAAGUAAUCAGCAUUCUCAUAUCACCAGAAGAGGGAAUCACAUCCGCUGGUGUUCUUUCCCAGGAAACAAUCGAGAAGAUGGAAGCUGAGGUUGAGAGGUUGACAGAACUUAAAACCAACAGAUUGAAAGAAAUUGUCACAAAGAGAAGGGCCGAAUUAGAAGAUAUAUGCAAGAAUGCACACAUACAACCUGAUCUCAGCACAGCCCCUGAGCAAACUAACGCCCUGAUUGAUUCUGGUACUAUUGACCCUUCUGAGCUCCUGGCGAAUAUCGAGUCACAAAUAUUGAAAGCAAAAGAAGAGUCACUAAGUCGAAAAGAUAUUAUGGACAGGAUAAAUAAAUGGAUUGCUGCCUGCGAUGAAGAGGCUUGGCUUGAAGAAUAUAACCAGGACUCGAAGAGGUAUAGUUCUGGAAGGGGUGCUCAUGUAAACCUUAGAAGGGCGGAAAAGGCACGAAUUUUGGUUACUAAAAUUCCAGCUAUGAUGGACAACCUGAUAAACCGUACCUUCGCUUGGGAAAAUGCAAGAAAUAAGCCAUUCUUAUAUGAUGGGGGACGACUAGUAUCUGUUCUAGAAGAGUACAGACUUAACAGAAAAGAAAAGGAGGAGGAAAAACGGCGAUACCGGGAUCAGAAGAAAUUGGAGAGCAUCCUGCUUGCAGAGAAAGAAGCGAUUUUUGGCUCCAAACCAAGCCCAAAGAGAGCGAGCAGCUUAACCAGAAAGACAAAUGGGUACCGUUCAAAUGGAAGCAGUAAUGGACUAAUGACCCCAACACCUCGCCGAUCAUCCCUAGGCAGUGCCACCCCUGAGCUUUCGACACCCAGAUCAUAUACUAGUCGCUAUAAUAGAUACUUUGGUGAUUCAAGGCGGCUAUCCGUAUCACAACUGAACUUCGGCGAUGAUUCACUAUCGACAUUUACAUCAAUUAGUGGUUCUGAACCAGAAUCCCCUUCUAUCGGAUAA